rfam:Propionibacterium sp. oral taxon 192 str. F0372 genomic scaffold acKdT-supercont1.1, whole genome shotgun sequence.
GACGUUCGUCCCGCCACAAUGGAUCGUUGGGCACGUUCCUGCCCAUGGAGAGGAUCGGCA